GUGGGGACUGCAUCAUGGUCUGGAUCUGGCUGACCAUCUCAGUCCGCUGAGCCUCCAGGCACCAGUACCUGGCCUUGGACUCCCGCAGGUCUUCCCUCUGCUUGGAAAGCCUACGUUCGUGGUCCUCAGUGAGGUGCUUCUGCUAAGCCUCCUUCUUGGUCAGAUCCAUUUGAACUGAGCCGGCUAUUUUGCCAACUCUUUCUCCUGGUGGCUGCUUAGCUCCAACAACUGCUUCCUGUUGAGGCCCUAAGGAGCUCGGGCAGGCAGGCGAGGAGUUGCUGGGAGGGGAGGACCGAGUAGAAGCCGGCGAGGCGCCCCAUGACAUGACUGAAAUUAAGUUGGCCACGCCCACCCAGUCAUAUGACCACCUAACCACGCCCACCCAGCCGUCAUUAGGCAGAUCAUGUUAGUGGUCCGCGGGAGUUAAAAUUAUGAUUUUAGUGACCCCUGAGGUCCGAAAGGUUAGUGACCUCUGUUCUAGAGAUAAGCAGCUUCUAAGACACAAGUGAAGUAUUACAUCAGUUCCAGAAAAGCAGGCAGAGCAACUAUGGAACAGCAUGCAAAGUGUUAAGAUUCAGACUGCAGCCUAACCAAUUCCCAUCUUGUAAACAUGGGAGCUCUUUAUUGCUGCCAUCUUCUUGAUGGCAAAGACAAAAUGAAAUGGAGAUGAAGAACAAAUGGAAAUCCAGGGGUCUGACAGUUAAGCCAGCCGUAUGGCACAAUCCUGUGAAACCAUCAACUAUCACGAAACACUUCUCAAGUGCACCUGCCAAUCUCCCAUGUUUUGCAAUUUCCAAAUCAAGUGGGGAUUUCUUUCAGAAAAUGAGCAGACUUUUGUUGCUGUUGCUCUGUUUCAGAAUGCCGGUGCUGUAAUUAUUAUAUUUUUAUUUUGCUAUACUCAAGAGUGUCACUGACAUUAUAAUAUUUUGCAUUCUGUAAGAUCACAUUCUAAAGCUUUUGAUUUCAGUAUUCUAACAUUCCAAAACCAGAAACUGCACCUAUGGUUCUCCAAGGCAUAGAAUAAAUCAAUCCAAGUUUAAAAUGA